AGAUGUAAUGGCAUCAUCACCCUAAAUUUCCUCACCAUGUGGAAGGUGGAAUGUCCAAGAUAUCAUCGACUAAACAUUUCGAGGAUAUGUAAAGAAAGGAAUAGGAUGGCAUCAUCACCAUACAUUUCCUCCUCAAGUGGAAGGUAGAAUGUCCAAGAUAUCAUUAACUACUAAAGUUGGAAUUUUGAUCUUAUGUGACAAAAACCAGCUCGACAGGGCUAAUAGAACAGGGACACCAAAUGUUAGAUAUAGUUCUCUGACUUAUAGUGAGUUAAAAAGAGAUGAUAGAAAUAGAGAAGAAGUAUAGUAUGUAACCACCGACAACAACAGAGUAACCAAAAAACAGGAGCAGAGCAAAACUAAUAGG
rnacentral:lncRNA from 1 species